UACGGAAGGCAGCGGUGGGGAAUAUUGCACAAUGGGCGCAAGCCUGAUGCAGCCAUGCCGCGUGUAUGAAGAAGGCCUUCGGGUUGUAAAGUACUUUCAGUCGUGAGGAAGGUGUUAAGGUUAAUAACCUUAGCAAUUGACGUUAGCGACAGAAGAAGCACCGGCUAACUCCGUGCCAGCAGCCGCGGUAAUACGGAGGGUGCGAGCGUUAAUCGGAAUUACUGGGCGUAAAGGGCACGCAGGCGGUUAAUUAAGUUGGAUGUGAAAUCCCCGGGCUUAACCUGGGAAUGGCAUUCAAGACUGGUUAGCUAGAGUCUUGUAGAGGGGGUAGAAUUCCAUGUGUAGCGGUGAAAUGCGUAGAGAUGUGGAGGAAUACCGGUGGCGAAGGCGGCCCCUGGGACAAAGACUGACGCUCAUGUGCGAAAGCGUGGGGAGCAAACAGGGAUUAGAUACC
rnacentral:rRNA from 1 species